GUAUAAGAGACAGCAGUAGCCGCGGGAAUACGAAGGGUGCAAGCGUUACUCGGAAUUACUGGGCGUAAAGCGUGCGUAGGUGGUGGUUUAAGUCCGUUGUGAAAGCCCUGGGCUCAACCUGGGAAUUGCAGUGGAUACUGGGUCACUAGAGUGUGGUAGAGGAUAGUGGAAUUUCCGGUGUAGCAGUGAAAUGCGUAGAGAUCGGAAGGAACAUCUGUGGCGAAGGCGACUAUCUGGGCCAACACUGACACUGAGGCACGAAAGCGUGGGGAGCAAACAGGAUUAGAUACCCCGGUAGUCCCUGUCUCUUAUAC
rnacentral:rRNA from 1 species